rnacentral:rRNA from 1 species
CUACGGGCCGCAGCAGUGAGGAAUAUUGGUCAAUGGGCGAGAGCCUGAACCAGCCAAGUCGCGUGAAGGAAGACGGUUCUAUGGAUUGUAAACUUCUUUUUUAAGGGAAUAAAACAGAGUACGUGUACUCUCUUGUAUGUACCUUACGAAUAAGGAUCGGCUAACUCCGUGCCAGUCAGCCGCGGUAAUACGGAGGAUCCAAGCGUUAUCCGGAUUUAUUGGGUUUAAAGGGUGCGUAGGCGGAUUGAUAAGUCAGUGGUGAAAGUUUGCAGCUCAACUGUAAAAUUGCCAUUGAAACUGUUAGUCUAGAGUGUAAAUGAGGUAGGCGGAAUGUGUUGUGUAGCGGUGAAAUGCUUAGAUAUAACACAGAACACCAAUUGCGAAGGCAGCUUACUGGGAUACAACUGACGCUGAGGCACGAAAGCGUGGGGAUCAAACAGGAUUAGAUACCCCGGUAGUC